UACGUAGGUGGCAAGCGUUGUCCGGAUUCAUUGGGUUUAAAGGGUGUGUAGGCGGUCUUUUAAGUCAGUGCUGAAAUACUCCAGCUUAACUGGAGGGGUGGCAUUGAUACUGGAAGACUUGAGUGUAGUCGAAGUAGGCGGAAUUGACGGUGUAGCGGUGAAAUGCUUAGAUAUCGUCAAGAACACCGAUAGUGAAGGCAGCUUACUAGGCUACAACUGACGCUGAGGCACGAAAGUGUGGGGAUCAAACAGG
rnacentral:rRNA from 1 species